rnacentral:rRNA from 1 species
AACGAACGCUGGCGGCAUGCCUAACACAUGCAAGUCGAACGAGACCUUCGGGUCUAGUGGCGCACGCGUGCGUAACGUGUUGGAACCUGCCCCCAUGUUCGGAAUUACUCCUCGAAAGGGGUGCUAAUAUCGGAUAAUGUCCACGAACCCAAGAUUGUUCGCCCUUGGUUGUGCCCGCGUUGGUUUAGCUCGUUGGUAGGGUAAAAGCCUGCCACGGCGACGAUCCUUAGCUGGUCUGAGAGACUGAACCGCCACACUGGGAGUAGGACACGGCCCAGACUCUUACGCGAGGCGGCAAUGGUGAAUAUAGUACUAUGGGCGGAAGACUGAUCCAGCAAUGCCGCGUAAGUGAUAUAGGCCUUAGAGAAGUAAAGCUGUUUUAACCAGGAUGAUGAUGACAGUACCGGGAGAAUAAGCUCCGGCUAACUCCGUG